UGCAGUCGAGCGGAUGACAGGAGCUUGCUCCUGAAUUCAGCGGCGGACGGGUGAGUAAUGCCUAGGAAUCUGCCUGGUAGUGGGGGACAACGUUUCGAAAGGAACGCUAAUACCGCAUACGUCCUACGGGAGAAAGCAGGGGACCUUCGGGCCUUGCGCUAUCAGAUGAGCCUAGGUCGGAUUAGCUAGUUGGUGAGGUAAUGGCUCACCAAGGCGACGAUCCGUAACUGGUCUGAGAGGAUGAUCAGUCACACUGGAACUGAGACACGGUCCAGACUCCUACGGGAGGCAGCAGUGGGGAAUAUUGGACAAUGGGCGAAAGCCUGAUCCAGCCAUGCCGCGUGUGUGAAGAAGGUCUUCGGAUUGUAAAGCACUUUAAGUUGGGAGGAAGGGCAGUAACUUAAUACGUUGCCGUCUUGACGUUACCGACAGAAUAAGCACCGGCUAACUCUGUGCCAGCAGCCGCGGUAAUACAGAGGGUGCAAGCGUUAAUCGGAAUUACUGGGCGUAAAGCGCGCGUAGGUGGUUUGUUAAGUUGGAUGUGAAAGCCCCGGGCUCAACCUGGGAACUGCAUUCAAAACUGACAAGCUAGAGUAUGGUAGAGGGUGGUGGAAUUUCCUGUGUAGCGGUGAAAUGCGUAGAUAUAGGAAGGAACACCAGUGGCGA
rnacentral:rRNA from 1 species